rnacentral:rRNA from 1 species
UACGGAGGGGGCAAGCGUUGUUCGGAAUUACUGGGCGUAAAGCGUGCGCAGGCGGUUCUCCAAGUCCGUUGUGAAAGCCCCGGGCUCAACCUGGGAAUGGCAGUGGAAACUAGGGGACUGGAAUCUGGCAGAGGGGGGUGGAAUGCCGCGUGUAGCAGUGAAAUGCGUAGAGAUGCGGCGGAACACCGAUGGCGAAGGCAGCCCCCUGGGCUGAGAUUGACGCUCAGGCACGAAAGCGUGGGGAGCAAACAGG